ACAAUUUUAUCGAUUUGAUCUUCCCAUCCUUAUAAAUUUAUAAGAAGUGUUUUUGAAUACGGAGAUUUAGCGGUCAAACGAUGUUUAUGUAGAGAAACUAUAAACAUUUAUCGAAUUCAGUUGAUGUAAUGACAUUGAGUAGUGAAUGUCGUGUUUCGUUGUAAGUAACGUUAUUAAUUAUGUAGUUAUAAUUCCAAAAAAAUCGGAAACGUAGAUGUGUAAUAUUAAAAUUACAUAAAGAAGGGAUAUUAUAUAGGCAGAUUGCAGGAUUAGUAGAGAGAUAUCUAUAUUUAUAAUACAUUAUAUUAUUAAAAAAUCAAAAAUUGAAGAAACAUUCACGAACAAACAUCUUAGUUCAAAGAAACUGAGCCAUGGAGAAAAGUAAAUUAUAAUACGUGAAAUAAAAAAAAAUCCAAAUACUUUGAUUACAAAUCUCACUUAAAUAAUUGCCUCAGAGAUUAAAAGGAUGUUCAUUUUGAAUUAUAUCGCAGGAAUUAUUUUACGCAAGAAUAAUUUUUAUAGUAGAAUUUUAAGAAAGAAACCAUUUAUUAAGAAGAGCAUGAAGCUAAGCGUUUGAAAUUUACAAAAGAAUAGAUAAAUGAAGAUAAUGCUUUCUGGGAUUAUUGAUCUUUUCUGACGAAAGCAAAUUUAAUAUAUUUAGAUCAGAUGGUGCUCGUUUUGUUUGAAGAAAACAAUUUAGAAAUGAAUGUGAAAAGUUUACGUUCGAUUGUAAAAUACGAUGGUGAUUUGGUAUUGGAAAUCUUGUUUUUAUAGAUGCAAAAUAAUGAUCCCAAGCAUACGGCUAAAAUUAUAAAAGAAUGAUUAUUAUAUAAUACAUUGCAUGGAUUAAAUAUAUCUCCACAGUCCGGACAUUAACCUUAAAAUUUAUGGUUGGAAAUCAACAAAAGAUUAAAAAAUUAUGAAAUAACUUUAGGGGAUGUAUUAAAACAAAAAAUUGUAGAAUUAUAGAAUUCUAUCGAAUCUACAACUAAAAAGUUACUACACAACAAGCAAUAUUGUGUUAAAAUUAUAAUUGUAACCAAAGAAGGUCCAACUAAAUAUUAAAUAAAAGAAAAUACGUAUAAUUAAUAGCGUUCGGAUAUUUUUGUGAUCCUAUUUCAAUCUUUGUAAUAAAUGUUUCAAAAUUUUUAUAAAUAUUGUUUGACUCGCUUCAAAUCUCGUAUAUAUAAUCUCGAUAGUUAUGUCUUAUAGUAGUUGCAACAUUAUUUUCAGAAUUUAAGUCUAACAUGCGUUAUUUCGCAAUAAUAUAUUUCAAGUUUUAAUAGCAAACGUUCGAAUACUUUUGUGAGCCACUGUAUAUUAUAUGUUUACCAUUUGGAGAUGUAACCUUGAACUACUUGAAUGUGAAUCAAAAUUGUAUUUGUUAUUGGACAUAAUUAUAAAUUAUUCAUAAUCUA